rnacentral:lncRNA from 10 species
AACUGACAAGCCCAUGGAUGUCUACAAAGAGUGAACUGAUCACUGUGGGCUGGCCUUUGAGGCAUCAGUGAGUUACAAGCGGUAAUACAAAGAGACAGGAUUAUAUGAUCUCCAAGGUCCCAUCCAGCCCAUUUAACACGGCAUUGUGGCUCUGGAGACCUGGAAGCACUGCUAACUGUUCUCUCGAUUUUCUGACGCUCGGCCACAUCAACCUGUCAUACUAGUUGUGAGGAGAAGUCAAGGACAGUGACACAGCCAGCCAGUCUGAGGCAUUUUCCAUCAUCCUGAAGGAGUUGCCCUAUCCUGCUUUUCACUGGAGGGGGCAUGGAUGGGGAUCCUGGAUGACAAAGCAGUCACCUACUUGAACACUGCUAAUUAUGAAGUCAGAAAGAGGAAAGUUUGCAGAGUUUUGUAUUGGCAAUCAAACAUUCAGCCACAGGUCACAGUCUAGAACCAGACACAUCAGUGUCCUCAACUGCAAAGUAGCCAGGAAGCAGCAUCCCAUAACACAGUCCUAUGUCCACUGUUUUGGAGAAGUACCAAUGUGAUUGAAGCAAGGGAAAUUGCUAUGGGAUAUCUGACCAACUGGAUAUUCUGCUGGAAGAGCAGAAU